UAGGGAAUCUUCGGCAAUGGGGGCAACCCUGACCGAGCAACGCCGCGUGAGUGAAGAAGGUUUUCGGAUCGUAAAGCUCUGUUGUAAGAGAAGAACGUGUGUGAGAGUGGAAAGUUCACACAGUGACGGUAACUUACCAGAAAGGGACGGCUAACUACAUACCAG
rnacentral:rRNA from 1 species